rnacentral:rRNA from 1 species
UACGUAGGGGGCAAGCGUUGUCCGGAUUUAUUGGGCGUAAAGCGCGUGUAGGCGGCCCGGUAAGUCCGCUGUGAAAGUCCAGGGCUCAACCCUGGGAUGCCGGUGGAUACUGUCGGGCUCGAGUCCGGAAGAGGCGAGUGGAAUUCCUGGUGUAGCGGUGAAAUGCGCAGAUAUCAGGAGGAACACCAAUGGCGAAGGCAGCUCGCUGGGACGUGACUGACGCUGAGACGCGAAAGCGUGGGGAGCGAACAGG